rnacentral:rRNA from 1 species
AGUCAUAUGCUUGUCUCAAAGAUUAAGCCAUGCAUGUCUAAGUAUAAGCAAUCAUACUGUGAAACUGCGAAUGGCUCAUUAAAUCAGUUAUAGUUUAUUUGAUAGUACCUUUACCUGGAUAACUGUGGUAAUUCUAGAGCUAAUACAUGCUAAAAACCCCGACUUCGGGAGGGGUGUAUUUAUUAGAUAAAAAACCAAUGCCCUUCGGGGCUCGUUGGUGAUUCAUAAUAACUUAACGAAUCGCAUGGCCUUGCGCCGGCGAUGGUUCAUUCAAAUUUCUUCCCUAUCAACUUUCGAUGUUUGGGUAUUGGCCAAACAUGGUUGCAACGGGUAACGGAGG